rnacentral:rRNA from 1 species
GACGAACGCUGGCGGCGUGCUUAACACAUGCAAGUCGAACGGUGAUGCUCCAGCUUGCUGGAGUGGAUCAGUGGCGAACGGGUGAGUAACACGUGAGCAACCUGCCCCAGACUCUGGAAUAAGCGCUGGAAACGGCGUCUAAUACUGGAUACGAAACUGGCCCGCAUGGGCAUGGUUUGGAAAGUUUUUCGGUUUGGGAUGGGCUCGCGGCCUAUCAGCUUGUUGGUGAGGUAAUGGCUCACCAAGGCGACGACGGGUAGCCGGCCUGAGAGGGCGACCGGCCACACUGGGACUGAGACACGGCCCAGACUCCUACGGGAGGCAGCAGUGGGGAAUAUUGCACAAUGGGCGAAAGCCUGAUGCAGCGACGCCGCGUGAGGGAUGACGGCCUUCGGGUUGUAAACCUCUUUCAGCAGGGAAGAAGCGAAAGUGACGGUACCUGCAGAAGAAGCACCGGCCAACUACGUG